UGGGGAAUAUUGGACAAUGGGCGCAAGCCUGAUCCAGCCAUGCCGCGUGUGUGAAGAAGGCCUUCGGGUUGUAAAGCACUUUCAGUUGGGAGGAAGAGUUGUGUGUUAAUAGUACACAGCUUUGACGUUACCAACAGAAGAAGCACCGGCUAACUCUGUGCCAGCAGCCGCGGUAAUACAGAGGGUGCAAGCGUUAAUCGGAAUUACUGGGCGUAAAGCGCACGCAGGCGGUUUCUUAAGUCAGAUGUGAAAGCCCCGGGCUCAACCUGGGAAUUGCAUUUGAAACUGGGAAACUAGAGUACGUGAGAGGGGGGUAGAAUUCCAAGUGUAGCGGUGAAAUGCGUAGAGAUUUGGAGGAAUACCAGUGGCGAAGGCGGCCCCCUGGCACGAUACUGACGCUCAGGUGCGAAAGCGUGGGGAGCAAACAGG
rnacentral:rRNA from 1 species